rnacentral:rRNA from 1 species
AGAUUGAACGCUGGCGGCAUGCCUUACACAUGCAAGUCGAACGGCAGCACGGGGGUAACCCUGGUGGCGAGUGGCGAACGGGUGAGUAAUACAUCGGAACGUGUCCUGUAGUGGGGGAUAGCCCGGCGAAAGCCGGAUUAAUACCGCAUACGAUCUACGGAAGAAAGCGGGGGAUCCUUCGGGACCUCGCGCUAUAGGGGCGGCCGAUGGCAGAUUAGCUAGUUGGUGGGGUAAAGGCCUACCAAGGCGACGAUCUGUAGCUGGUCUGAGAGGACGACCAGCCACACUGGGACUGAGACACGGCCCAGACUCCUACGGGAGGCAGCAGUGGGGAAUAUUGCGCAAUGGGCGAAAGCCUGACGCAGCGACGCCGCGUGGGGGAUGAAGGCCUUCGGGUUGUAAACCCCUUUCAGCAGGGACGAAGCGAAAGUGACGGUACCUGCAGAAGAAGCGCCGGCUAACUACGUGCCAGCAGCCGC